rnacentral:rRNA from 1 species
GAUGAACGCUGGCGGCGUGCCUAACACAUGCAAGUCGAGCGAACCCUUCGGGGUGAGCGGCGGACGGGUGAGUAACGCGUGGGUAACCUGCCCUAUACACACGGAUAACGUACCGAAAGGUACGCUAAUACGGGAUAAAGUUGUUGGAUGGCAGCUUCUAACAAUCAAAGCUCCGGCGGGAUAGGAUGGACCCGCGUCUGAUUAGCUAGUUGGUGAGGUAAUGGCUCACCAAGGCGACGAUCAGUAGACGACCUGAGAGGGUGAUCUGCCACACUGGAACUGAGACACGGUCCAGACUCCUACGGGAGGCAGCAGUGGGGAAUAUUGCACAAUGGGCGAAAGCCUGAUGCAGCAACGCCGCGUGAGCGAUGAAGGUCUUCGGAUCGGAAAGCUCUGUCCUCAAGGAAGAUAAUGACGGUACUUGAGGAGGAAGCCCCGGCUAACUACGUGCCAGCAGCCGCGGUAA